rnacentral:rRNA from 1 species
CCUACGGGAGGCAGCAGUGAGGAAUAUUGGUCAAUGGACGAGAGUCUGAACCAGCCAAGUAGCGUGAAGGAUGACUGCCCUAUGGGUUGUAAACUUCUUUUAUAUGGGAAUAAAAUGUUCCACGUGUGGGAUUUUGUAUGUACCAUAUGAAUAAGGAUCGGCUAACUCCGUGCCAGCAGCCGCGGUAAUACGGAGGAUCCGAGCGUUAUCCGGAUUUAUUGGGUUUAAAGGGAGCGUAGGUGGAUUGUUAAGUCAGUUGUGAAAGUUUGCGGCUCAACCGUAAAAUUGCAGUUGAAACUGGCAGUCUUGAGUACAGUAGAGGUAGGCGGAAUGCGUGGUGUAGCGGUGAAAUGCUUAGAUAUCACGAAGAACUCCGAUUGCGAAGGCAGUUCACUGGACUGCAACUGACGCUGAGGCUCGAAAGUGUGGGUAUCAAACAGGAUUAGAUACCCGGGUAGUC